CCCAUCAAAUCACAAUAGAGAGAUAAGAGUUCAUUGUCGAAAGUUCGUGGACCGGAACAGCACAUCGUCUUAAGAUUCGGACCGAAUUACAUCGAUCUCUUUGUAGGUCCAUGAUCAAAUACAGCCUUUUUAAGCAGCUCAGUGAGAAUGUGUCGGACAACAAUAGUUAGUCACACUUCGACAUACUCGAAUUGGAGCUCUUUUAUGAAUGCUGGGGGUGGAUGAACAGGCCUAUGCCAAGCAUGUGGAAACGAAUUCAUGUAUAUAUGAACCUGGAUGCAUUAGCAGCCCAGAAAAUUCUAUUUAUAAAGGUUUUGCGAAUAACUUAUUGGACGGACUUCUCACUCGCAUGCUCGAUGGCUAUUUCUAUCAUCUAAUGGAAAUGAUGAUAAAUGGCAUGUGCCGAAACUGUUCCUGUUCAGCGUUCAUCCCAUUUAAUAUAGUGAUGAUUAGACAAUGGGACAGGUAAGAAGCUUGGAUAAAUGCUGGAUUAAAUGGACCAUAAGGUUCCAUGCAAGUUAACACAGAUUUGCACCAGAGAUGUAAAUUGACGAUUUGAACUGGAAAACUAUGCCUAUUUUUUGAGGAUGAGAUUCCGUCUACAAAUGGAAUUAGUUCUUCAUUGUCGGGAUUCUAUUAUUUUUGGGGAAAAGAUGAUUGCUACCAUUGCGGUAUUGAAGAGAAGCAUAAGUUUUUACAUACUCUUCUACAGGCCAACCAUUCAACCUCUUCAAUGAGUCUGGAGAAAGAAUUCAUGAGUGCAGAAACUCUCUCUGUGCUGCGUGAUCAGUUU